AGUUCUUCUGCCAGCAUUCGCAGAUGUUCUGGGUUCCCAGCACAAUGAGACUUGGGCUAAUUAACUCCUGAGCAGAAACACAGACUUACAAUGAGGUACAGAAAGAACAUCAGUUACAGAGCAACAACACUGCUGUUCAAAAACACUCGUCUCCAGCUAUUUCAUUAUACCUUCUGAUGUGGCUUCACAUCUGAGAGGACAAAAUAGCUUCAUCUUUGUCUGAGGAAUGCCAAGGGGAUGGAAAUAUGGAAAUGCCAUCAGAUGCUGUCCACCUGUGAGCAAACAGGGGCACAUAAGGCCAUCGGGGUCCUGGUUCCUCCCCCUCACCUUCUCAGAGAAAAAUCUCAUCAGCAGGGUUUUUCUUGAGAUUCCUGUGAUGUCAAAGACCUACCUGAAACACCUCCAGAUAGUCUCGUAUUCCAGUGUUAACUGCCGCCUGCUCUUCCUCUAGCCAUUAUAUUUUCUUUCUAAAGGUCUGGAUGGGAAGGAGGGUUGCAGAACAGUGGGGAGAGAGAAAGAGAAAAUCUUGUCUUUACAUCUAUGUGGUUAAUUUUUCUAUGCAGGAGCAAAA